GACGAACGCUGGCGGCGUGCUUAACACAUGCAAGUCGAACGUGAUUUUUGUGGAAAUUCUUUCGGGAAUGGAAAUGAAAUGAAAGUGGCGAACGGGUGAGUAACACGUGAGCAACCUACCUUACACAGGGGGAUAGCCGUUGGAAACGACGAUUAAUACCGCAUGAGACCACAGAAUCGCAUGAUAUAGGGGUCAAAGAUUUAUCGGUGUAAGAAGGGCUCGCGUCUGAUUAGCUAGUUGGAAGGGUAAAGGCCUACCAAGGCGACGAUCAGUAGCCGGUCUGAGAGGAUGAACGGCCACAUUGGAACUGAGACACGGUCCAAACUCCUACGGGAGGCAGCAGUGGGGAAUAUUGCACAAUGGGGGGAACCCUGACGCAGCGACGCCGCGUGAGCGAAGAAGGUUUUCGAAUCGUAAAGCUCUGUCCUAUGAGAAGAUAAUGACGGUAUCAUAGGAGGAAGCCCCGGCUAAAUACGUG
rnacentral:rRNA from 1 species